rnacentral:lncRNA from 1 species
UUGUCAUGGGGCAUUCGGUGAUGGCGCAUAUCUCCGAUGCCAUUGCUGCCGCUGGGGUAACCCAGAUUCUUCUUGAAACAGGUCGUCGUCGCCGCUGCCGUUGCCUCUGCUGCCUCCUGAACUCUAUCCCAUUCUUUUCCCCCUAGGGUUGGGAUUUCGGAGAUGGAGUGGGAGAAAGCCAAGCAUGUUUAUCACACGCACUGAGAAAUGCGGUUGGAC